CCCCUGCCCCCCCUGUGCCCCCAGACUCUUUUUCCGCCGGCACUACCCCGUGAGCAGCGUCACCCACUGCGGCACCGACCCCCAGGAGCGCAGGUGGGCGAACCCCGACGGGACCACGGCCAGGAUUUUCGGGUUCGUGGCGAAGCAGGCGGGGGCCCCGGGGGGGGGCAACGCGUGCCACGUGUUCGCGGAGCUGGACCCCGAGCAGCCGGCGGGGGCCAUCGUCACCUUCGUCACCAAAGUCCUGCUGGGCACGCGGCACUGAGGGACACCGGGGACCCCCCCCGCACCCCAAAACCCAGCUGGGGACUCCCAAAGCCCCCCGAGGCAGGGGGGGCUCAGGGGCACCCUCAAAACCCAGCGGGACUGCCCCCCCCUCUUCACCGAGGUCCUGCUGGGGACACGACACUGAGGGACCCCCAGAACGCCCUGGCACCCCCAAAACCCCCUGGAGUCCUCUGUGCCAAGGGGGGGACACACGUAACUGACCCCCCCCACCAUCAUCACCCUCAUGAACACCCCCAAGCCCCCCCAAAACCACCCCCGGACCCCCAAACCCUCCCAGGCACCCCUGAUUUGAGGGAGCAGGAGGGGACCCCCACAAUCGCCCCUCCCACCAUCUUCAGCACCAAAGUCCUACUGGGGACCCCCAAACUCCCCCUGAGACCCCCCCCAGACCCCUCAAAUACUCCCCAGACCCUCCAACCGCCCUUGAGGGCCCCCCAAAACCUCCUACACCCCCCCAACCACCCCCUGAAGUGAAGAAAAGGGGGCACAGGGACACCCCCUGCAAUCUGGGGGGUCCUGGAGGAACCCCAAUAAAUCCACAUUUAUUUUGGUGUAAGAAA